rnacentral:rRNA from 1 species
ACACCGGCGGCCCGAGUGGUGAUCGUGAUUAUUGGGUCUAAAGGGUCCGUAGCCGGCUUGGUCAGUCCUCCGGGAAAUCUGAUAGCUCAACUAUUAGGCUUUCGGGGGAUACUGCCAGACUUGGAACCGGGAGAGGUAAGAGGUACUACAGGGGUAGGAGUGAAAUCUUGUAAUCCCUGUGGGACCACCUGUGGCGAAGGCGUCUUACCAGAACGGGUUCGACGGUGAGGGACGAAAGCUGGGGGCACGAACCGGAUUAGAUACCCGGGUAGUCCCAGCCGUAAACGAUGCUCGCUAGGUGUCAGGCAUGGCGCGACCGUGUCUGGUGCCGCAGGGAAGCCGUGAAGCGAGCCACCUGGGAAGUACGGCCGCAAGGCUGAAACUUAAAGGAAUUGGCGGGG